rnacentral:rRNA from 1 species
UACGAAGGUCCCGAGCGUUGUUCGGAAUCACUGGGCGUAAAGGGAGCGUAGGCGGCGUAGUAAGUCGGAUGUGAAAUCCCGGGGCUCAACCCCGGAACUGCAUCUGAUACUGCUAUGCUAGAGUAAUGGAGGGGUAGCUGGAAUUCUCGGUGUAGCAGUGAAAUGCGUAGAUAUCGAGAGGAACACUCGUGGCGAAAGCG